GCCUGGGUGGCUUAGUGGGUUAAGCAUCUGAUUCUUGAUCUCAGCUCAGGUCUUGAUCUCAGGGUUGUGAGUUCAAACCCCACCGUUGGCU
rnacentral:tRNA from 1 species